CGGGGCGUAGCGCAGCUUGGUAGCGCACUUGCAUGGGGUGCAAGGGGUCGGAGGUUCGAAUCCUCUCGCCCCGACCA
rnacentral:tRNA from 1 species